rnacentral:rRNA from 1 species
GACGAACGCUGGCGGCGUGCUUAACACAUGCAAGUCGAGCGGUAAGGCCCUUUCGGGGGUACACGAGCGGCGAACGGGUGAGUAACACGUGGGUGACCUGCCCUCAGCUCUGGGAUAAGCCUGGGAAACCGGGUCUAAUACUGGAUAUGACUCCAUGACGCAUGUUGUGGGGUGGAAAGCCUUGUGCGGCUGAGGAUGGGCCCGCGGCCUAUCAGCUUGUUGGUGGGGUGANGGCCUACCAAGGCGACGACGGGUAGCCGGCCUGAGAGGGCGACCGGCCACACUGGGACUGAGACACGGGCCCAGACUCCUACGGGGAGGCAGCAGUGGGGAAUCUUGCGCAAUGGGCGAAAGCCUGACGCAGCGACGCCGCGUGA